rnacentral:rRNA from 1 species
AGAAUCAACGCUGGCGGCGUGCCUAACACAUGCAAGUCGAACGAGAAAGGGGAGCAAUCCCUGAGUAAAGUGGCGCACGGGUGAGUAACACGUGACUAACCUACCCUGGAGUGGGGGGAUAACUGAGGGAAACCUUAGCUAAUACCGCAUAACACCUACGGGUCAAAGGAGCAAUUCGCUUUGGGAGGGGGUCGCGGCCGAUUAGUUAGUUGGCGGGGUAAUGGCCCACCAAGACAGUGAUCGGUAUCCGGCCUGAGAGGGCGCACGGACACACUGGAACUGAAACACGGUCCAGACUCCUACGGGAGGCAGCAGUGGGGAAUUUUGCGCAAUGGGGGAAACCUGACGCAGCAACGCCGCGUGGAGGAUGAAGUACUUCGGUACGUAAACUCCUUUCGAUCGGGACGAUAAUGACGGUACCGGAAGAAGAAGCCCCGGCUAACUUCGCGCCAGCAGCCGC